UGCUAUGGUUUUGAGGGUCUUUUUUUCUAGUUACAUUUCAUGCAAAAAUACAAUAAAAGCCUGAAUUUUUAUUUUUUCUUCAGAGACUUUUCAGUUUGUAAUAAGUCUUCAGCCUCAUCCUAGCAAGAAGCAGGCCCAACUAACAGCUAGGGCAGAAAACCCGAGGAGCACACUUUGUAAGCACCUACCCGUUGCAGGGCCAGGCAUGAAGUAGACUGAAAAUGAGUAGAAAGCCGGGGUCAAAGGAGGAAGAAGUACAAACCCCCAAGGAAAAACAUUUCUUGGUUAAUGAAGUGUGAAUCCAAACGUGAGGGAGGGGAUGAGGACCAGCAAGCUACCAGGCAGUGUUCAUUAAACCUGUGUGUGGUGUGAUCAGAAAUCUGGAGCAGACCUCAUCCCUGCUGCCUUAAGGGAAAAAAUAAUCCAUUUUUAGAGUUCACCUUGCAAUGGUCAUGAGCCUCGUUAAGCUCAGUGCUGCUGCAGCUCCCCUAUGGUGGUAUUUCUGUCAAGAUCCCUGUGUAACUGUAUUAGACCUGCUCUGCUACUGCUGGUAAAGCCAGGCCUGUGAAUAAAUGAGAACAGAACUGGACAAGUGACAUGAGACUGGUUUUCAGUUUGUGAACCUGGAUGGAUAUUUUCCCAAUAUUUUAUGUUCACGUUCAUCUUCUACCCUGAUUUUUCUCCUCACUGCUAGGUGGCCGUGGCCACGGCUCGCUCUGUUGUGCCUUCUCAGUUGUGUGUGGUCUCUUUGGUGCGUAGCCCUCACGGUCUCCCAUAUUUGCCCAGAAGCAGCUGGUAGGCAGAGCACAUCAACACACACUGGGCCACUGUGAGCUGUAUCUUUGUUUCUUGCCUGCUUUUCUGUGCAUCGUGGGAGGACUUCUGAUUUGUGUGUUGUGUAUUUCCAGGCAUGCUACAUGUUCACAGGCACACAUAUUCAGAUGAAAGACAGUCGUGUUUAAUGCAGUUUCUGCAUCUCCAUCCAAAAUCCAGCAAAAAUCAACAAAUCUCAAGAGUAAAUG